rnacentral:rRNA from 1 species
GACGAACGCUGGCGGCGUGCCUAAUACAUGCAAGUCGAGCGAACAGACGAGGUGCUUGCUCCUCUGACGUUAGCGACGGACGGGUGAGUAACACGUGGAUAAUCUACCUAUAAGACUGGGACAACUUCGGGAAACGGGAGCUAAUACCGCAUAAUAUCUUUAACCACAUGGUUUAAUAGUGAAAGACGGUUUUGCUGCCAUUUAUAGAUAGAUCCGCGCCGCAUUAGCUAGUUGGUAAGGUAACGGCUUACCAAGGCGACGAUGCGUAGCCGACCUGAGAGGGUGAUCGGCCACACUGGAACUGAGACACGGUCCAGACUCCUACGGGAGGCAGCAGUAGGGAAUCUUCCGCAAUGGGCGAAAGCCUGACGGAGCAACGCCGCGUGAGUGAUGAAGGUCUUCGGAUCGUAAAACUCUGUUGUUAGGGAAGAACAAAUGUGUAAGUAACUAUGCACGUAUUGACGGUACCUAAUCAGAAAGCCACGGCUAACUACGUG